rnacentral:rRNA from 1 species
GAUGAACGCUAGCGAUAGGCUUAACACAUGCAAGUCGAGGGGCAGCAUGGUCUUAGCUUGCUAAGACUGAUGGCGACCGGCGCACGGGUGCGUAACGCGUAUGCAACUUGCCUCACAGAGGGGGAUAACCCGUCGAAAGACGGACUAAUACCGCGUACACUCCAUCUUGGGCAUCCAAGGUAGAGGAAAUGAAAUUCGCUGUGAGAUAGGCAUGCGUCCCAUUAGCUAGUUGGUGAGGUAACGGCUCACCAAGGCGACGAUGGGUAGGGGAACUGAGAGGUUGAACCCCCACACUGGUACUGAGACACGGACCAGACUCCUACGGGAGGCAGCAGUGAGGAAUAUUGGUCAAUGGGCGAGAGCCUGAACCAGCCAAGUCGCGUGAAGGAUGACUGUCUUAUGGAUUGUAAACUUCUUUUAUACGGGAAGAACAAGAGUCACGUGUGACUCCCUGCAUGUACCGUAUGAAUAAGCAUCGGCUAACUCCGUG